rnacentral:rRNA from 1 species
AAGAAGGAACUCGGCAAAAAUUUAACCCCGCCUGUUUACCAAAAACAUCGCCUUUUGAAAACUAAUAAAAGGUCUAGCCUGCCCAGUGACUUUGUUCAACGGCCGCGGUAUCCUAACCGUGCGAAGGUAGCGUAAUCACUCGUUCUUUAAAUGAGGACUAGUAUGAAUGGCAUCACGAGGGUUCUACUGUCUCCUCCCUCUAAUCAGUGAAACUAAUCUCCCCGUGAAGAAGCGGGGAUAAGCCUAUAAGACGAGAAGACCCUAUGGAGCUUUAAACACACAACAAUUGCCCCGCUCCCCCAUAAAUCUCCGGAAAGCCAUCUACCCGGGCAUUUUGAUUGCAAGUUUUAGGUUGGGGUGACCGCGGAGUAAANAUUAACCUCCACAGCGAANGGGACUUCUCCCUAAACUCAGGGUUACGACCCUAAGAAUCAAUAAAUUGACACCCAUUGACCCAAUUUCUUUGACCAACGAACCAAGUUACCCUAGGGAUAACAGCGCAAUCCAUUUCAAGAGCUCCUAUCGACAAGUGGGUUUACGACCUCGAUGUUGGAUCAGGGUAUCCCAGUGGUGCAGCCGCUGCUAACGGUUCGUUUGUUCAACGAUUAAAACCCUACGUGAUCUGAGUUCAGACCGGAGCAAUCCAGGUCAGUUUCUAUCUAUAAAGAGUUUCUUCUAGUACGAAAGGACCGAAGAAACAUGGCCAAUGCCCCCGUAAGCCAUAGCAACUUAUUUAUGACUUAACCUCAAUAAAAACAUGCUUCUAAAUGAACUCAAGAAAAGAGUA